CUACGGGGGGCACCAGUGGGGAAUAUUGCACAAUGGGGGAAACCCUGAUGCAGCAACGCCGCGUGAAGGAAGAAGGCUCUUGGGUUGUAAACUUCUUUGAAUGGGGACGAAACAAAUGACGGUACCCAUAAAACAAGCCACGGCUAACUACGUGCCAGCAGCCGCGGUAAUACGUAGGUGGCAAGCGUUAUCCGGAAUUACUGGGUGUAAAGGGCGUGUAGGCGGGAGAGCAAGUCAGAUGUGAAAUGCCAAGGCUUAACCAUGGAACUGCAUCUGAAACUGUUUUUCUUGAGUACUGGAGAGGAAAGUGGAAUUCCUAGUGUAGCGGUGAAAUGCGUAGAGAUUAGGAGGAACACCAGUGGCGAAGGCGGCUUUCUGGACAGUAACUGACGCUGAGGCGCGAAAGCGUGGGGAGCAAACAGGAUUAGAUACCCGCGUAGUC
rnacentral:rRNA from 1 species